UGGGGAUAUGGCUCAGUUGGUAGAGUGCCUGCCCUGUAAGCAUGAGGCCCUGGGUUCAAUCCCCAGUGCCACAA